rnacentral:rRNA from 1 species
UACGGAGGGUGCAAGCGUUGUCCGGAUUUAUUGGGUUUAAAGGGUGCGUAGGUGGCCUUAUAAGUCAGUGGUGAAAGCCUGCAGCUUAACUGUAGGACUGCCAUUGAUACUGUAGGGCUUGAGUAUUGAUGAGGUAGGCGGAAUUGAUAGUGUAGCGGUGAAAUGCAUAGAUAUUAUCAAGAACACCGAUUGCGAAGGCAGCUUACUAAGGAAUAACUGACACUGAGGCACGAAAGCGUGGGGAUCAAACAGG